rnacentral:rRNA from 1 species
GAUGAACGCUGGCGGCGUGCCUAAUACAUGCAAGUCGAGCGAACAGAUGAGGAGCUUGCUCCUCUGACGUUAGCGGCGGACGGGUGAGUAACACGUGGAUAACCUACCUAUAAGACUGGGAUAACUUCGGGAAACCGGAGCUAAUACCGGAUAAUAUAUUGAACCGCAUGGUUCAAUAGUGAAAGACGGUUUUGCUGUCACUUAUAGAUGGAUCCGCGCCGCAUUAGCUAGUUGUUAAGGUAACGGCUUACCAAGGCAACGAUGCGUAGCCGACCUGAGAGGGUGAUCCGCCACACUGGAACUGAGACACGGUCCAGACUCCUACGGGAGGCAGCAGUAGGGAAUCUUCCGCAAUGGGCGAAAGCUUGACGGAGCAACGCCGCGUGAGUGAUGAAGGUCUUCGGAUCGUAAAACUCUGUUAUUAGGGAAGAACAAAUGUGUAAGUAACUAUGCACGUCUUGACGGUACCUAAUCAGAAAGCCACGGCUAACUACGUG